rnacentral:lncRNA from 1 species
ACUACAGGCGCCCACCACCAUGCCCGGCUACUUUUUUGUAUUUUUAGUAGAGAUGAGGUUUCACCGUGUUAGCCAGGAUGGUCUCGAUCUCCUGACCUCGUGAUCCGCCCACCUCGGCCUCCCAAAGUGCUGGGGUUACAGGUGUGAGCUACCGCGCCCAGCCGAAGCACAUCUUUUUUAAAAAACUAAUUAAAGAGAUGCCAUGCUCAUGGCUGGGAAGUUAAUGUAAAAACCAUCCUCCUCCCCCUCAUUAGUUAUAACUUUAAUGUAAUCUCAAUCAAAAUUGCAUGGGAUUUUCUAGAACUUGGUAAACUAAAAUUCAUAUGGGGGAGAAGGCAAUCAUCCUAAAAGUUUUAAAAGCUUACAAGAUAUUUAAAGAUCACCCUAAGACUCAGAUAAGAUGAAAUAUCCAGGGAGGGAAGUCAAUGUUAGGGCCACUUUUGUCCAAGGUGGUGUUUCCUGGCCUCGACGGUGACCCUGAGAGACUGCGUAUGGGGAACGAAGGAGUUGGAGUGUGGAGCUCUCGUGGGCAGGGGUGGAACAGUCCCUGCAAAGCUGCCCCAUGUGAACUUCAGCCUGGCUUCAAGCCAUCCCAAUGCUCCCAGAACCCCAAACCCUGAAAUUACAGUCAGGCGAUUGCAACAUUAAAACAUGUUUAUCUUCUUUAGACAAAAUACUCUAAACUGAGAUUCUUUAGUUAAUAGGUGUGAACAUUUUUAUGACAAUGGAUAUGUAUCAAUAUGUAUUUCAGUGUCAUCAUGUACUAAUGUAAACCAGUUUAAUGCUGCCCUAAAACAAUGUAUACCAAUUACACCAUCAUUUUCCAGAAGUGGGGAUUAUACUUUUAAAAAACUGCUUUAGUAAUUGAAAAUAGUAACUGCAGCCUCAGACUCCUGGGCUCAAGAGAUCCUUCUGCCCCUGCCCCGCAAGUAGCUGGGACUACAGGUGCACACCAUGCCUGGCUUCUCAUUUCUGUGCUAAUUACAUUUGUCAGUUGGCCUGUGAGUGUCCUGACAGUACUGGCUCCAGCAGCAGCUUCUGUUCCUGGCUUCUCAGCAACCCAAGGAGGAUGUUCCAUUAUUAUCUCCACUUCACAAACCGGCCCAUAGUCACAUCUCUACUGAGUGGGAGAGCCAGCAAGGUUGCCCAGACAGCCUGGCUCCUGCAGAUCUGUCUUCUGCAUUGAAAACAUCAUAUUUACAGCAGCUACCAUAUUCUGAGGCAUGUUCCUAAUGCCAAAUGUGUAAGACGGAGGAAAUCACAUUCACUUAAAGGCAUUAUUUACUGGUGUUUGACUAACCUCUCCCAAAUCCACCCUUGGAUGACACCCACAAAGCCCUAGGCCAGGAGUCUGCCAGGACUCAGGCGGCAGGUCUCUCUUAGCCCACGAGGUCUGGGCCUCACUGGGAUGGCAGUGGGAAACCUGGCAUUCAGGGUAAUGUGUCAUGGGCACCCAGAAGACGCUCCCACUAUAAAACUUUGGGAAAUAAAGCAGUGAGGAGAUAGCCAUCCCCAACAGGUACCCCAGUGCUCACUCCCCAUGGGCAGCAGGUGCUGCGAACACUGAAGAAACAGUGCCUGAUUCAACAAGGACAGAAAGACCCCGGAGCGCAGAGACCAGGCAUCAUCGCUAACCACUAAAGCAAAGAGGGCACUGCCAGCUGACAACCAAGAGGAACUAUGGGAGUCUCCACCUGGAGCACAGAGACCAGGCAUCACCGCUAACCACUAAAGCAACGAGGGCACUGCCAGCUGACAACCAAGAGGAACUAUGGGAGUCUCCACCCGGAGCACAGAGACCAGGCAUCACCGCUAACCACUGAAGCAACGAGGGCACUGCCAGCUGACAACUAAGAGGACCCACAGGAGUCUCCAGGGGUUACUCACCAGCCCCAGGGCCGAGAACCUAAACAGCCAGGCAGUCUACCACAUGCUUACCUGGUCAAUAUAACCAGAGCAACUCCAGGCCUAGCAAGUGAGGUCUCACUUAGGCCUAACAAUGAAGUUACAGCUUCUCACCCAUUUCCUAAGGAAUCACCCAACACACAGAGCCUGGGGCUUCAGGAAGGAUACAGAUCAUUUCACCAGCACGCGCUCUUUUAACUCCCUUCCCUUUCCCAAAGGGUCUGUGGCCAUUUGCCAGAGAGCCUGGGCCUGGGAAGGCUGGCGUGAAGGGUGUCAGGAAAUCUAGGACAAAGACCAGACUAAUUCUAGCCCCUGCGAGGCAGGACACCGCAAUGUCCUCCAGUCACAGUGGGCCUCCAAGCCUAUGCUACAUUAUUUCUCAGGCACCCAGGUGUGUGGUUGGAAUAUUAACCCUCAAUACUGUGCAGAACUACCUCUCAGUUCCCCAAUAGGAAGAACACCUAUUCAGGCAUGAAGAGCAAAGUGACGUCUUAGAGCUCUCCCUCCUUACUUAAAUAUUAAAUCAAAAGCAAGACCAUGGAUAAGCAAUCUGUGGUAUAUUUUAAAAAUGGAAUAUUGCUCUAUAAUGAAAAGAAACAAAUUACUAAUGCGUGCAACAAAUGGGUGAAUCUUAACAGUAGUGUGCUGGGUGAGGGAAGCAGACACGAGUGCCUACUGUGCGCUUCCCUCACGAAGCCCGAGAACAGACAGAGCCACCUCAUGGAGACAGAAACCUGAAUACUGUGCGUCGCGUGGGAAAGGGCAGGCGAGUGCUUCCUGGCGUGGCAGAAACGUUCCCCAGCUUGACUGGAGCACAGAAAUUUGCACACCACAAUGACUGAACGCUGCCAGUGGGGAUUCCCGUCACCGGCCUGGCCCCAGUGUAUCUUCAAGAAUGACUCGUCUGGCACAGCGGGAGCAGGUGGUGGAUACGAGGGCCACUUUCCUCCAGUCUGGGAUUCUUACUGGACAAAUUAACACAGUACAAUCCCUGGUUUGAGGCUUGUACCUAAGAAUCUAACAAAUUGCUUUUUCUAUCCCAAUUAAGAGAAAGCACUAGAAACUAUUCCUUUUCUCAGCAGAGUCAUGGUGCAGACUGCAGCUUUGUCUCAGGCUAUGACACUCCGGCUUACUGUCAGGACUCAAACCAAACAGGACGCCUGGUCAGGCUGCCCUCUCCUCAACUUCCUCUCUCAGCAUCGAAAUCGCAGCGCGCCUCUCCCACCCUCAGGGGCCCACUGCCCAAUGACACCUGCCCAGCCUCCUCCUGGUGGCUAAGGGGCACCGCCUCAGCACCCCCAGGUCUGCCCCUCUUUGGGCAGGUCUCUGCCUCCUCCUCUGCCCCACACCCACCUGCUCCAUCCCCGCCCCACCCCAGUUCCCGUGUGGCAGAUGCUGUCCUGCAGCUCAGAGCCCAGCUCACCCUGAAAAUCUCCAAGGCCCAGCCAGGGGUCUGGCCCAGGCUUGCAGCCCACCCAGAGGAGCCCAGGGGACCUCUCGCCUCUGCCUGAGCCAUGCAGGCUUCAUCUUCCGUGGAUGAAGAGCUCAGCCUGGCCAGAGCCUCCCCAUGCUCCGCACUAAGACGUGCUUCUGAGACACCAUCCGGCAGGACAGGCUUUCAGUUGCCAAGGGCCCCACAGGCUGUCCCUGCUUCUGGAACUCUCUUCCCCUGGCCGGCCCCUCGUCCUUCAGCAGGAGGAAAACACUCUUUCACACAAGCCCUCCUUAUCUACCAGCCUGGGCUGCACCCGCAAAGGGUCUGUGUUUCGGGUUCCAGUGUGUGGCGGCGUGUGGUGGUGUGUGGCGGCAUGUGGUGAUGUGUGGCAGCAUGUCACAGUGCUCCAAGCUGUGAGUCGGGUGCCUUCCCUGGUGCUGCUCUCUCAGAAAGCUCUUCCUGCAUUUCCUGCAGUCCAGGAAGUUCUCAUCGGGACUGGCAGGGAGUUUGGAAUUUUGAGUUUUUAAGAAUCAGUUAGACACUUAUGCAGCCAAAAGACAUAUGAAAAAAUGCUCAUCAUCACUGGCCAUCAGAGAAAUGCAAAUCAAAACCACAAUGAG